rnacentral:tRNA from 1 species
UUAAUUGAAACCAAAUUAGAGGUAUAUCACUGUUAAUGAUAAAACUGAGAACAAUCUCCAAUUAAG